UCUAAAACCUUCAGGAUACCGGGGGUCGAGGCCUGGCGUUGCCUACCCCUGGUUUACAAGGAACAACCAAUCGGAGGAAAGUUGGCUUAAUGCAGGAGAAGGAAGGAAGAAGAUGAUGGUGAAGUGAUUUUAGGCUUAUUUUAGAUAAAGAUGAUGAUGAUUCUUCUACCUGCGAGCCAUGUCGUGCUCAUCAAAGCCAGUCCUGUUUCGUCGUCCAGGCUGCUGAGGUGCUGCAGCACACUCUCCAUGGGAACCUCCUCCGCCCCUUCAAACUCUCCUCCGAUACAGUCUCCUAGCACACCUGCGACCAGCGCUCCCCUGAAGCGGGACAAAGACGCCGGACCUCCCGCGGCUGCCGCCGCUCUCACCGCCGUGACUGCCAUUCAUCCGACGGGGAAAAUGACUUCCGCCUGCUCGUUUCUCCGCUGACCCUACUCCCAGACAGCUGGCGAGCGGAUCCAAAGCAAUCCACAACAACAACAAACGUCGACCUGAAGCUCUCUCUGCACGGCUUCCGGAAAACGUUCAGAUCACCGUUUGACCCCCGGUGAAAGUUCGCACAUAGAAGUGCAGCCAAGCAGAGAAGACCUCCAUUAGACGACAGCAUUGAGUCUGAUCUAGUUCACAUAUUUCUAUGCAAUGUAUACCGAAACUGCUAUAAUAAAUGUGCAUGAACUUUA